AAACGACUCUCGGCAACGGAUAUCUCGGCUCUCGCAUCGAUGAAGAACGUAGCGAAAUGCGAUACUUGGUGUGAAUUGCAGAAUCCCGUGAACCAUCGAGUCUUUGAACGCAAGUUGCGCCCGAAGCCGUCAGGUUGARGGCACGUCUGCCUGGGCGUCACA
rnacentral:rRNA from 1 species